rnacentral:rRNA from 1 species
GACGAACGCUGGCGGCGUGCUUAACACAUGCCAGUCGAACGGAAAGGCCCUGCUUUUGUGGGGUGCUCGAGUGGCGAACGGGUGAGUAACACGUGAGUAACCUGCCCUUGACUUUGGGAUAACUUCAGGAAACUGGGGCUAAUACCGGAUAGGAGCUCCUGCUGCAUGGUGGGGGUUGGAAAGUUUCGGCGGUUGGGGAUGGACUCGCGGCUUAUCAGCUUGUUGGUGGGGUAGUGGCUUACCAGGGCUUUGACGGGUAGCCGGCCUGAGAGGGUGACCGGCCACAUUGGGACUGAGAUACGGCCCAGACUCCUACGGGAGGCAGCAGUGGGGAAUAUUGCACAAUGGGCGGAAGCCUGAUGCAGCAACGCCGCGUGCGGGAUGACGGCCUUCGGGUUGUAAACCGCUUUCGCCUGUGACGAAGCGUGAGUGACGGUAAUGGGUAAAGAAGCACCGGCUAACUACGUG